GAACUUUCCAGAGAUGGAUUGGUGCCUUCGGGAACUCUGAGACAGGUGCUGCAUGGCUGUCGUCAGCUCGUGUUGUGAAAUGUUGGGUUAAGUCCCGCAACGAGCGCAACCCUUAUCCUUUGUUGCCAGCGGUCCGGCCGGGAACUCAAAGGAGACUGCCAGUGAUAAACUGGAGGAAGGUGGGGAUGACGUCAAGUCAUCAUGGCCCUUACGAGUAGGGCUACACACGUGCUACAAUGGCGCAUACAAAGAGAAGCGACCUCGCGAGAGCAAGCGGACCUCAUAAAGUGCGUCGUAGUCCGGAUUGGAGUCUGCAACUCGACUCCAUGAAGUCGGAAUCGCUAGUAAUCGUGGAUCAGAAUGCCACGGUGAAUACGUUCCCGGGCCUUGUACACACCGCCCGUCACACCAUGGGAGUGGGUUGCAAAAGAAGUAGGUAGCUUAACCUUCGGGAGGGCGCUUACCACUUUGUGAUUCAUGACUGGGGUGAAGUCGUAACAAGGUAGGCGUAGUGCU
rnacentral:rRNA from 1 species